rnacentral:lncRNA from 1 species
AACCGCUAUCUGCUUUGUCUGCGUACUGUCUUUAUGUCAUUGCCCAUCUUCAUUCCAAUCUUUUUCGCAUAAUUGGUGUCAUGUCGUGAUGAUUCUAUGACUAGGGAUGCUCAGGUCCUUAUGAUAAUUUACAUAUAAGUGUUAUCCUUUAUCAGCAAAGAGUUCAGGUUUUGGCAAUCAGUAAACCAAAAAAAUACUAGAUAGUACAGCGGUUUAUAUUGCCAUACAAGCUAGAGCAAUGAUAAGGUAUUAUAAAUAGACGCA